rnacentral:rRNA from 1 species
AAAGCACUUUCAGUCAGGAGGAAAGGUUAGUAGUUAAUACCUGCUAGCUGUGACGUUACUGACAGAAGAAGCACCGGCUAACUCCGUGCCAGCAGCCGCGGUAAUACGGAGGGUGCGAGCGUUAAUCGGAAUUACUGGGCGUAAAGCGUACGCAGGCGGUUUGUUAAGCGAGAUGUGAAAGCCCCGGGCUCAACCUGGGAACUGCAUUUCGAACUGGCAAACUAGAGUGUGAUAGAGGGUGGUAGAAUUUCAGGUGUAGCGGUGAAAUGCGUAGAGAUCUGAAGGAAUACCGAUGGCGAAGGCAGCCACCUGGGUCAACACUGACGCUCAUGUACGAAAGCGUGGGGAGCAAACAGGAUUAGAUACCCUGGUAGUCCACGCCGUAAAACGAUGUCUACUAGAAGCUCGGAACCUCGGUCUCUGUUUUUCAAAGCUAACGCAUUAAGUAGAACCGCCUGGGGAGUACGGCGCAAGGUUAAAACUCAAAUGAAUUGACGGGGGCCCGCACAAG